AUACGGAGGACGCGAGCGUUAUCCGGAUUCAUUGGGUUUAAAGGGUGCGCAGGCGGCCGUGCAAGUCAGCGGUGAAAGCCCGGGGCCCAACCCCGGAAGUGCCGUUGAUACUGCAUGGCUUGAAUGCGGUCGAGGCGGGCGGAACGUGGGGUGGAGCGGGGAAAUGCGUGGAUAUGCCACAGAACCCCGAUAGCGGAGGCAGCUCGCCAGGCCUGCAGUGACGCUCGGGCACGAAAGGGUGGGGAUCGAACAGGAUUAGAUACCCUGGUAUUCCACGCCGUAAACGAUGGGCGCUCGUCGUCGGCGGCAGACAGUCGGCGGCCAAGCGAAAGCGAUAAGCGCCCCACCUGGGGAGUACGGUCGCAAGGCUGAAACUCAAAUGAAUUGACGGGG
rnacentral:rRNA from 1 species